UUUGUCAUCAAACUUACAGAGGAUGAAAGAGGAGGAGUUUAACAUCUCAGAUGAUCUUGUUACAUUUGACUGUCACAAAGCUCAGUCCUGCUGCAGUGAACACACACAUGUACAAUGAUACUUCAUUCAGUCAUUCUGCUCUCUGCCUUGACAUGUGUGAGUUUUGGAGAUGAAAUCACACCAGACAGCACUGAAGAGUCUGCUGCAGAGGGUUCAACUGUUACAUUAUCCUGCAGUUAUUCAUCUGCAGAUUCACUUCUCUGGUACCGUCAGUAUCCUGGAUCAGCUCCUCAAUUUCUUGUGCUUAAAAUAGAGAGUGUGAAAGAGACCAAGAUAAAGACAUCGGAGGUAGAUCCCAGAUUCUCUACUAAGACCAGAAAAGAAAAACAAGCCCAAAAAGAGAUCAAACAUGUGGAUCUGAUCAUCUCCUCUGCUGUAGUAUCAGACUCUGCUCUGUAUUACUGUGCUCUGAGGCCCACAGUCACAGGAAACACUGUAACUCUGUACAAAAACCUGACACAGCUGAAAAGGCAUAGCUAUAAUUAUGCCUUCUACUAAACAGACUGAAGCACAUAACAAUCGAAAGAAUCACAUUCCCAAACUGCCAAUUCAGACACAGAACAAAAGUCUGAUGGAACACAUUCAAAGACCCAUGUUUAUAAUUACAAUAACUUUGUACAAACCCAAAAUUAAAGUCAUUAUAUGUGAUGUAACUGCUACCAGCAUUUACAUAAAGAAAAUAAAAUGUGCAAUGAGGAAUGAAAACCAGUAUGCAGACUUUAUUUUCUGUGGAGGAAACUACUAAAAUUAAACUUGGUUUUCAUUUUGUAAUGCUUUUAGGUAACC